rnacentral:lncRNA from 1 species
GGAAUCAUAGGGAUUUCUAGGGUUUUUCAAACGUUUACAGUUGUUUUACAAACAUUUUCAUACUUACAGUUCAUCUACAUUUUAUACUUACAGUUCAUAUACAAAUUCUAACAUACAAAUUCUUACAUACAAAUUAAGACACUAAAUACUUAUGAUCUCACCAGCUUCAAAGUUGAUACUCGCUUUCAAAAUUACUUGUAUCCUCAGGUCAUCAUAGACAGGUACCGAUGCAAGGAGAAAGGAAGAUGGAGCUUGUUCAAGACUCAUCUUUCAUUUUGAUUUAUGCUUUAGUGUUUAUCAAAAUUUGACAGAACAUACUUGUAUUAUAAUUCUAUUAUUAAUGAAAUGG